CGUGCUAAUCUGCGAUAAGCGCCGGUAAGGUGAUAUGAACCGUUAUAACCGGCGAUACCCGAAUGGGGAAACCCAGUGUGAUUCGUCACACUAUCAUUAACUGAAUCCAUAGGUUAAUGAGGCGAACCGGGGGAACUGAAACAUCUAAGUACCCCGAGGAAAAGAAAUCAACCGAGAUUCCCCCAGUAGCGGCGAGCGAACGGGGAGGAGCCCAGAGCCUGAAUCAGCAUGUGUGUUAGUGGAAGCGUCUGGAAAGGCGCGCGAUACAGGGUGACAGCCCCGUACACAAAAGCGCAUGUGCUGUGAGCUCGAUGAGUAGGGCGGGACACGUGGUAUCCUGUCUGAAUAUGGGGGGACCAUCCUCCAAGGCUAAAUACUCCUGACUGACCGAUAGUGAACCAGUACCGUGAGGGAAAGGCGAAAAGAACCCCGGCGAGGGGAGUGAAAAAGAACCUGAAACCGUGUACGUACAAGCAGUGGGAGCACCCUUCGGGGUGUGACUGCGUACCUUUUGUAUAAUGGGUCAGCGACUUAUAUUCUGUAGCAAGGUUAACCGUAUAGGGGAGCCGGAGGGAAACCGAGUCUUAACCGGGCGUUAAGUUGCAGGGUAUAGACCCGAAACCCGGUGAUCUAGCCAUGGGCAGGUUGAAGGUUGGGUAACACUAACUGGAGGACCGAACCGACUAAUGUUGAAAAAUUAGCGGAUGACCUGUGGCUGGGGGUGAAAGGCCAAUCAAACCGGGAGAUAGCUGGUUCUCCCCGAAAGCUAUUUAGGUAGCGCCUCGUGAAUUCAUCUCCGGGGGUAGAGCACUGUUUCGGCUAGGGGGCCAUCCCGGCUUACCAACCCGAUGCAAACUGCGAAUACCGGAGAAUGUUAUCACGGGAGACACACGGCGGGUGCUAACGUCCGUCGUGAAGAGGGAAACAACCCAGACCGCCAGCUAAGGUCCCAAAGUCAUGGUUAAGUGGGAAACGAUGUGGGAAGGCCCAGACAGCCAGGAUGUUGGCUUAGAAGCAGCCAUCAUUUAAAGAAAGCGUAAUAGCUCACUGGUCGAGUCGGCCUGCGCGGAAGAUGUAACGGGGCUAAACCAUGCACCGAAGCUGCGGCAGCGAACGUAUCACCCAAGACAACUUUACGGAGUUGACGAUUGACGGAGCGAAGCGACGUCAAAGCGUUCAUUAAAGUCGAGUUGGCUUAGGGAUACGUUCGUUGGGUAGGGGAGCGUUCUGUAAGCCUGUGAAGGUGUGUCGUGAGGCAUGCUGGAGGUAUCAGAAGUGCGAAUGCUGACAUAAGUAACGAUAAAGCGGGUGAAAAGCCCGCUCGCCGGAAGACCAAGGGUUCCUGUCCAACGUUAAUCGGGGCAGGGUGAGUCGACCCCUAAGGCGAGGCCGAAAGGCGUAGUCGAUGGGAAACGGGUUAAUAUUCCCGUACUUGGUGUUACUGCGAAGGGGGGACGGAGAAGGCUAUGUUGGCCGGGCGACGGUUGUCCCGGUUUAAGCGUGUAGGUGUGUGUUCCAGGUAAAUCCGGUUCACUUUAACACUGAGGCGUGACGACGAGGCACUACGGUGCUGAAGCAACAAAUGCCCUGCUUCCAGGAAAA
rnacentral:rRNA from 1 species